rfam:Aedes aegypti strain Liverpool supercont1.1442 genomic scaffold, whole genome shotgun sequence.
GGGUCUGUAGCAUUAAGGUUAGGCUUUCGCUUCAUAAGCGGAAGGUCAUGGGUUCGAUUCCCAGCCCCU